rnacentral:lncRNA from 1 species
CCCCCGAGCCCUAGCGUAGCCGCAGCCGAGGCUGCGGUGCCCUGCAGGCGGCUCGGCCCGAGUGGUCAUCGGGCCUGGUCUUGGGCCGCGGCCAUUCUCAGGCCGGUCCGGGGUCCAUGGGUCUGGCCCGUGACCCUUCUCCCUUCUGCCGAUCUCCUCCUCUCUGUUUCGUUGUUGAGACAGAGGGGAAAUCCUCCACAGAGGGUUUCUCCAGACUUUAAAAUUUUAUUAACAGGGGGUCCAUACCUGGUUUUAGCCGGGUGUAGUCGGGCAGUGCUUCCUCCCUGGUAGUCUCCCCUUCUCAGAGCUUCAGGGCUCCUUGGCCUUAGGCUCCAGGGCUUCGGCUCUCUCUCUCGUUCAAAGUUUAGGGGGUCUGUGACUUGGGGUUGCCGGCAGGGGCUUAAAUAAUUUGUUUAGGGGAUGAGACCCCCCUCUGAGAGGUCCCAUCCUCUCCUUUCCUCCCUGCUCCGGGACUGUCAGCCGCCCCCCCUGUCUCAGGCGCGCCGGAAUUCGGCUGCCAGCAGGGGGUGAGGUCACCUU